ensembl:lncRNA
CCGCCGCCGCCGCCGCUCAGCCCCGCCGGCUACAGCAGCGACUCGGAGGCUUCGGGAGGCUCCCAGCCGCCCGCCGGCCCCGACAGGAACCACGGAGCGCACGGCAAGAAGUAAGGGAGUCCCCGGGAUGGGGUCCCGUCAUCCCUGCCAGGCUACGGGAGAUGGGCUGGGAUGUUUGGGGUGCGGCCACCUUUAAAUCCUGAACUGGGGCUGAACUGGGGAGCGGGGCUGGGUUGGGAUGCUCCAGGGAUGGGAAAGGGAUAGGAAUGGGGAUGGCAAUGAGGACGAGUUGGAGGUGGGAAUGGGGUUGGGGACAGAGCCGGGGAUGGUGAUAAGGAAAGGAUGGGCUUGGGGAUAGGGAAGAGCCGCAGUCAAAGCUGGCACGCUGUGAGAAGGGUCAUCCCUGCAAGGGAUUAUCCCGCUGCCAAGGGCAGUGCCCGGAGGGCAGCAUGGGAUUACAGCAUCCCACAGGAUGCAGGUCCCAAGCAAAUGAAAGCCCUGUGCUUUGCAGGCAGGGAUGUAACCCAGUCAAAGUCUGGUGUUAUGUGGGUUCCUUAUGGGAACCUGGAGUCCCUGGCUGCAGUGGGAGCGCCCUGCCAGCCAGGACGAGGUGCGAGGCGGUGCUGGGACCUUCUGCCUUCACAGGGUGAAGGAGCGGCACCACCGGGGCCGGCCCAACAGCAGCUCGGAGUCAUCAACCAAGCACUCCCGGCACGCCUCGGAGCGGAGGAAGAGCCCGUCCCCCAGCCCGGGCCAGCGCAGCAGCUCCUGGAGCUCCAGCGGUUCCCUCUCCAAGUCCCGCUCCCGCUCCCGGGAGAAGAGAGCAGGGCGCAGCCGCUCCCGCUCGCCCUCGCCGAAAAAGCCAGCCAGCAGAGAGAAGGACAACGAGCCUCGAACACGUCACGGUGAUCCCGAUCCCGCCCGCCCUCGGCGCCGCUCCAGGAGCUACUCCCCCAUCAGGAAGCGGAGACGUGACUCCCCCAGCUUCAUGGAGCCCAGGAGGAUCACCAGGUGUGUCCUGGCAUGUGGCAAAGGCUCUGCCACCACCCGGGGAUGAGCUGCGCUGACCCCAAAGGGUGCUUGGGUGGGUGGGUGUGUGGAUGGAUGGAUGAUGGAUGGAUGAUGGAUGAUGGAUGGAUGAUGGAUGGAUGGAUGAUGGAUGGAUGGAUGGAUGGAUGGAUGGAUGGAUGAUGGAUGGAUGGAUGGAUGGAUGAUGGAUGAUGGAUGGAUGAUGGAUGGAUGGAUGGAUGAUGGAUGGAUGGAUGGAUGGAUGAUGGAUGGAUGGAUGAUGGAUGGAUGGAUGGAUGGAUGGAUGGAUGGAUGAUGGAUAGAUGGAUGGAUGAUGGAUGGAUGAUGGAUGGAUGGAUGGAUGGAUGGAUGAUGGAUGGAUGGACACACAGAUGGACAAUAGCAGCUCUGUGGAUACACAGAUAACCCUGAGGAUGGCUGGGUGAAUCAGCUGGCCCAGACAGAUGGGUAACCAGACUGCCUCCAAUACUGUGACCUUCUGAUCUCUUCCUAUUUCGAGGCAUGAAAACAGGAAUUAAUUUUAAUCCGCCUGUGCAUGUUCCAGCAAUACGCACGUUCGCAAUCACGUCUCUCCUGCCCUCCAAAAGCUGGUUUCUCCUCCUUGGGAUCCUAUUGCCUCAGGAUCCUGAGCUGUAAGACAGGCAAUAUUUCGUGCCAGACGAAACACUGUGUGCAUAUGUAGCACCUCGUUAAGAUGCAGCGCUGGUGGCGGGGCCGUGCCGAGCCGAGAUUACCUCCUUCCUGACCUAUUUGUCCCUCCCGCUAUCAGCUGGGAGAUCGGGGGGGUUGGAUUUUCAGAAAUCAGCUCUGCCUCCUUCUCUGUGAGGGAUUUUGUUUUGCCUGGGCAGGACUGGAGUUGUCAGGAGGGAGGACAGGAGAA